rnacentral:rRNA from 2 species
GGGGGAUAUUGCACAAUGGAGGAAACUCUGAUGCAGCAACGCCGCGUGAAGGAAGACGGUCUUCGGAUUGUAAACUUUUGUACCUAGGGACGAUAAUGACGGUACCUAGGCAGCAAGCUCCGGCUAACUACGUGCCAGCAGCCGCGGUAAUACGUAGGGAGCGAGCGUUGUCCGGAUUUACUGGGUGUAAAGGGUGCGUAGGCGGCCAAGCAAGUCAGCUGUGAAAACUAUGGGCUUAACCCAUAGCCUGCAAUUGAAACUGUUUGGCUUGAGUGAAGUAGAGGUAGGUGGAAUUCCCGGUGUAGCGGUGAAAUGCGUAGAGAUCGGGAGGAACACCAGUGGCGAAGGCGGCCUUCUGGGCCACAACUGACGCUGAGGAGCGAAAGCUGGGGGAGCGAACA